rnacentral:rRNA from 1 species
AUGCCCAUGCAGCUGUGGUCACUGGAGGGGGCGGAAGAAGUCCUCGGUGACCUCUGCAUCGUCGAUCGCCUGGACAGCCGCACCCACGAGCGUGGACACACCAAGUCCUUCGCCUGUUGGGUGUGGACGACCGACACCGCGCGCAUCCCCACCAAGCAUGACAUUUGGCGCGCGGCCCGCGGGGCGGGACGGGUCGAGGCCAUGCUCGGGUUCUCGCCGCCGAGCCGCCAGGUGGCGCCCCCGCCUGGCAUCAGGCGCCGUGAGCUGCUGGUGCACGUCGACAGGAUCGAAGACUGG